rnacentral:rRNA from 1 species
UACAGAGGGUGCAAGCGUUGUUCGGAAUUAUUGGGCGUAAAGAGCUCGUAGGCGGUUUGUUGCGUCGGCUGUGAAAUCCCGAGGCUCAACCUCGGGUCUGCAGUCGAUACGAGCAAACUAGAGUGUUGCAGGGGAGACUGGAAUUCCUGGUGUAGCGGUGAAAUGCGCAGAUAUCAGGAGGAACACCAAUAGCGAAGGCAGCUCGCUGGGACGGUAUUGACGCUAAGGCGCGAAAGCGUGGGGAGCAAACAGG